AUACGGAGGGUGCAAGCGUUACUCGGAAUCACUGGGCGUAAAGCGCGCGCAGGCGGUCUUUUAAGUUGGAUGUGAAAGCCUACGGCCCAACCGUAGAACUGCAUCCAAAACUAUUAGACUAGAGUGUGGGAGAGGAAGAUGGAAUUAGUUGUGUAGGGGUAAAAUCCAUAGAGAUAACUAGGAAUACCAAAAGCGAAGGCAAUCUUCUGGAACACUACUGACGCUGAGGCGCGAAAGCGUGGGGAGCAAACAGGAUUAGAAACCCUAGUAGUCC
rnacentral:rRNA from 1 species